GGAGUCCCAGAAUGCAACCAAGGCCCCAUGGGUUCUGUGCAUGUAAAGCAGUCUCACACCACUUUAAAGAGUCCUGGCUCCCCCCCCCCAACAGACCAAGGGAAAUGUCCUUUGUUAAGGGUUCUGGGAGUUGUUAGGAGAUCCCCUCUCUCCCUCAAAGAGCUGCAAUUCCUAGAGUGUGUAGCAGUCCAUGGGUAUGUUUUGGUGGGAAAAGGUUUAGGGAGUCUUGCAGGCAAGACAUUCCUUCCAGUCUUACCUUUGCGCCGCAGGAUGGGCAACAGAUGGCAGAGGGUCUCUGCUGCCCACUGUCUGCACUCCAUAUGCAGAUCCAACAUGUACAGGCAAGAAACAGCCACCAGUUGACCAAGGGGGGAUGCAGGAAGCGCUACCGAAGUCUGAGAAGAGACCCAGAGAAGUUACUGCCAAGAGAAGCAACCCAUUAUUGAUGGCAGUGCUUUGGCCCGCCAAGCAUUCUCAGAAUAUAAUUAUAAUAUGUAUAUCCCGCCCCCCCGGCUGGAUUCCAGGCAACUUACAGAUAAAAAAGAAGCACAAAAAAAUAGAAAAAACAAUAAUCAAAAAACAAUUAAACAUGGAUAGAAUUAAAAGUAUAACUCCCAGUACGUUUCCGAGCACAAUUAAAAGUGUUGGUGCUGACCUUUAAAGCUCUAAACGGCCUCGGCCCAGUAUACCUGAAGGAGCGUCUCCACCCCCAUCGUUCAGUCCGGACACUGAGAUCCAGCGCCAAGGGCCUUCUGGCGGUUCCCUCAUUGCGAGAAGUAAGGUUACAGGGAACCAGACAGAGGGCCUUCUCGGUAGUGGCGCCUGCCUUGUGGAAUGCCCUCCCAGCAGAUGUCAAGGCAAUAAACAACUAUUUUACUUUUAAAAGACAACUGAAGGCAGCCCUCUUUAGGGAAGUUUUUAAUGUCUGAUGCUGUAUUGUUUUUAAUAUUCAGUUGGAAGCCGCCCAGAGUGGCUGGGGAAACCCAGCCAGAUGGGCGGGGUAUAAAUAAUAAAUUAUUAUUAUUAUUAA